UAUUGUAAAAGGCAAACCCGUCGAAAGGCGGGGACGCAAAGCUACGGGUCUGAAGGCGAAGAGCCAAGAUAGCCGGGUUGCCAGA
rnacentral:ncRNA from 1 species